rnacentral:lncRNA from 1 species
UUAGUUGAAUAUAUUUUAAUCACUAGUUUUCAAAUAUAUUGUGUUUUUGUUUACCAAAUUGUUAAUAUAAUUUUACAAAUUAAGUGACUUAGCACAAAUACAAUCCCUGUGGAGACGAUAACUCGAUACUUACUUAUUACUUGAUAACGACUGUGUACACUUGCACAAACCUACGCGUUACAGUAAGUGAUGAGAAUGCGUACAGAACAAGAUCAUAGCUUGUGUAAGUUACGGAUUUAACCUUGAUCUCUAGGUGAACGUAAACUGAAACAAGAAACAACGAAAAUAGAUUAGUUGUCACAAAGGAGAGUCAAACAAAAUUAAAACAAAAGAAAGAUGAACUGACUGGUAAAGAAUCCAACAGAGAAUAAAUUAGGG